GAGUUUGAUCAUGGCUCAGAGUGAACGCUGGCGGUAGGCCUAACACAUGCAAGUCGAACGGCAGCACAGAGGAGCUUGCUCCUUGGGUGGCGAGUGGCGGACGGGUGAGGAAUACAUCGGAAUCUACUCUGUCGUGGGGGAUAACGUAGGGAAACUUACGCUAAUACCGCAUACGACCUACGGGUGAAAGCAGGGGAUCUUCGGACCUUGCGCGAUUGAAUGAGCCGAUGUCGGAUUAGCUAGUUGGCGGGGUAAAGGCCCACCAAGGCGACGAUCCGUAGCUGGUCUGAGAGGAUGAUCAGCCACACUGGAACUGAGACACGGUCCAGACUCCUACGGGAGGCGGCAGUGGGGAAUAUUGGACAAUGGGCGCAAGCCUGAUCCAGCCAUACCGCGUGGGUGAAGAAGGCC
rnacentral:rRNA from 1 species